rnacentral:rRNA from 1 species
CAGGCCCGGACACUGGAAGGAUUGACAGAUUGAGAGCUCUUUCUUGAUUCGGUGGGUGGUGGUGCAUGGCCGUUCUUAGUUGGUGGAGCGAUUUGUCUGGUUAAUUCCGAUAACGAACGAGACUCUAGCCUGCUAAAUAGGUGACGGGUUUUAUCAAUUGAAACCGAAGGGGGUACGGAGGCGUCGGGAUCAGGUGGCGGCGGUUUCGGGUGGAGUGGAGGGGGCCGUUUUAGCGUGUCGCGUUGCUGGUCGUUCGUGUCUGUGCGCUGUGGCGUGUCGUUUCGGCGGCGCGUUGCGGUGUCGGGCGUGGGCGGCUGGUGGCGCGGCGCGCGGGCGGUUCUUUUUCCCUUCUCUCGGUCGUCGUCAUCCCCGGCGAUUUCUCCUGCUCUCGCGUCCGUCACGUGUCUUCUUAGAGGGACAAGCGGCGUCCAGCCGCGUGACAGUGAGCAAUAACAGGUCUGUGAUGCCCUUAGAUGUCCUGGGCCGCACGCGCGCUACACUGAAGGAAUCAGCGUGUUUCACUCUCCCUGUCCGAAAGGACCGGGUAACCGCUGAACCUCCUUCGUGG